rnacentral:rRNA from 1 species
UACGAAGGGGGCUAGCGUUGCUCGGAAUCACUGGGCGUAAAGGGUGCGUAGGCGGGUUUUUAAGUCAGGGGUGAAAUCCUGGAGCUCAACUCCAGAACUGCCUUUGAUACUGAGAAUCUUGAGUAUGGGAGAGGUGAGUGGAACUGCGAGUGUAGAGGUGAAAUUUGUAGAUAUUCGCAAGAACACCAGUGGCGAAGGCGGCUCACUGGCCCAUAACUGACGCUGAGGCACGAAAGCGUGGGGAGCAAACAGG